UUCCGGUUGAUCCUGCCGGACCCGACUGCUAUUUGGGUGAGAAUAAGCCACGCGAGUUGAAUGGAAUACCUAAAUUUUCCAUGGCAAACUGCUCAGUAACACAUGAUCAACUUACCCUAUAGAGAAAAAUAACCUCGGGAAACUGAGGAUAAUGUUUCAUAGUUGAAAAGGCUUGGAAAAGUUUUUCAAUCAAAAGAAUAAAAAAAAUGGUUUUUAUCCGCUAUAGGAUAGGAUCGUGCUCGAUUAUGGUUGUUGGUGAGGUAAUGGCUCACCAAGCCGAUAAUCGAUAGGGGCCGUGAGAGCGGGAGCCCCGAGAUGGGUACUGAGACAACGACCCAGGCCUUACGAGGCGCAGCAGGCGCGAAACCUCCGCAAUACACGAAAGUGUGACGGGGUUACCCAAAGUGUUCAGUUUUGAACUGUGGUAGGUGAGUAAUGUCCCCUACUAGAAAGGAGAGGGCAAGGCUGGUGCCAGCCGCCGCGGUAAAACCAGCUCUUCAAGUGGUCGGGAUAAUUAUUGGGCUUAAAGUGUCCGUAGCCGGUUUAGUAAGUUCCUGGUAAAAUCGGGUAGCUUAACUAUCUGUAUGCUAGGAAUACUGCUAAACUAGAGGGCGGGAGAGGUCUGAGGUACUACAGGGGUAGGGGUGAAAUCUUAUAAUCCUUGUAGGACCACCAGUGGCGAAGGCGUCAGACUGGAACGUGCCUGACGGUGAGGGACGAAAGCCAGGGGAGCGAACCGGAUUAGAUACCCGGGUAGUCCUGGCCGUAAACGAUGCAUACUAGGUGAUGGCAUGGCCAUGAGCCGUGUCAGUGCCGUAGGGAAACCGUUAAGAAUGCCGCCUGGGAAGUACGGUCGCAAGGCUAAAACUCAAAGGAAUUGGCGGGGGGAGCACCACAAGGGGUGAAGCCUGCGGGUUCAAUUGGAGUCAACGCCGG
rnacentral:rRNA from 1 species